UCCAGGUCUUAUGGCCCUGACUGCUGGAGUACAUGGUGCCAACUCAGUACAGCUGCACUCUGAGCCUCCUGUGCUGAUGCCUCGGGGACCUGGCCAAGCAACCACAGUGGGAGGGAGAAGAAGCGGCUUGCAUGGACCCCAGCAAAGGAGCCAAACUUCCUAAGGCCCAGGGGCUGCUGGCUUGACUCCUGGUGGUUUCCUCGGCCCUGGGUGACAGCAGCCACACACAUUCUGCCCUGUGGGGACUGUGGGCUCUGCACCACACAAUCCACCCUGCAGUUGGAGAGCAGUGGAGGAUCAAGAUUCCCAUCCUGCUCAUGACCAUUGAAGUUCCUGAACAUGACACUGAAGACCAUUGAUGAUGAUGCCUGGAGCAGUAAGCUGAGCCUGGAGCUGCAACAUUGAAUGGACAGUUAUGCCUGCUUCUCCCCAGAGAAGGUGCAUGUUCUUGGCAAUGGCUGGGUUUCUGCAGCUGUUUCAUGGUGCUGUGGCAGGAAGGCUGCAGAGAGUUUCUCUCCAGAGUUUAUGCUUUUCUGUUCUAUUUUCGUGAUCAAAGGCAUUGUCUUUGGUUCUCUGCUCUCUUCACUGACCCAAAGGGAGCUGCUUAGAGGGGCUCUUUCUCUGUCUUUAGCUGCCAUUUCCCUGCAGAGAGUGGGGCCAGUUAUUGGGUGUGUGGCUGCUGGGCCUGGACUCUCUUGGUCCUUCCUAGGGGCAGGUGUGUUUCUGGGCUGUUCUUGUCCUGACCAGCAGGCUGCUGUGUUCCCAGCUCUUUGGUGAUGUUGGUCUCCUUCUUUCAGAGUUUCCUA